rnacentral:rRNA from 1 species
AGAGUUUGAUUAUGGCUCAGGACGAACGCUGGCGGCGUGCUUAACACAUGCAAGUCGAACGAGGCAGCAAUGCCUAGUGGCGGACGGGUGAGUAACGCGUAGGUAACCUGCCUCAUAGUGGGGGAUACCCAGCCGAAAGGUUGGCUAAUACCGCAUAAGCUGGUUUGUUGAGAUACAGAUCAGGAAAGAUUUAUUGCUAUGAGAGGGGCCUGCGUACGAUUAGCUAGUUGGUGAGGUAAAGGCUCACCAAGGCGACGAUCGUUAGCUGGUCUGAGAGGACGAUCAGCCACACUGGAACUGAGACACGGUCCAGACUCCUACGUGAGGCAGCAGUGGGGAAUUUUCCGCAAUGGGCGAAAGCCUGACGGAGCAACGCCGCGUGGGUGAUGAAGAUUUUCGGAUCGUAAAGCCCUUUCAGCAGGGACGAAGCGAGUGACGGUACCUGCAGAAGAAGCAUCGGCUAACUACGUGCCAGCAGCCGCGGUAAUACGUAGGAUGCGAGCGUUGUCCGGAAUUAUUGGGCGUAAAGAGAACGUAGGUGGUUUCUUAAGUUCGGUCUUAAAGACCGGGGCUCAACCCCGGGAAUGGACUGAAAACUGGGAGACUAGAGGAUGUUAGAGGACGGUGGAAUUCCAAGUGUAGCGGUGAAAUGCGUAGAUAUUUGGAGGAACACCAGUGGCGAAAGCGGCCGUCUGGGACAUUCCUGACACUGAGGUUCGAAAGCUCGGGGAGCAAACAGGAUUAGAUACCCUGUUAGUCCGAGCCGUAAACGAUGGACACUGGGUGUAGAGGGUAUCGACCCCCUCUGUGCCGUAGCUAACGCGUUAAGUGUCCCGCCUGGGGAGUACGGUCGCAAGACUGAAACUCAAAUGAAUUGACGG